rnacentral:rRNA from 1 species
UACAGAGGGUGCAAGCGUUGUUCGGAAUUAUUGGGCGUAAAGGGCGCGUAGGCGGUGCGGUAAGUCUGUAGUGAAAUCUCUGGGCUCAACUCAGAGUCUGCUAUAGAAACUGCCGUGCUCGAGUGUGGGAGAGGUGAGUGGAAUUCCCGGUGUAGCGGUGAAAUGCGCAGAUAUCGGGAGGAACACCUAUGGGCGAAGGCAGCUCGCUGGGACGGUACUGACGCUGGAGAACGCGAAAGCGUGGGGAGCAAACAGG